rnacentral:lncRNA from 1 species
GCCAUUUGUCACUCACCUGGAAGACAUAACUGUAGUUUUUCCACAACUGUUGUAAUAUUCCUUUGCUGAACUCUACAUCGGAUGAUUUCCUCUGUUUGGGCUAUCACCUCUUUCCCAGCAUCCUGAAGCCUUCGGUUGGUAUCAGUAACUUGGACCUUUAAUUUUUCUGCAUCAGCUCUAACUUUAAGAAGUUCUGUGAUAGCAUCCACAAAGCCCUGAUGGUGAAAAUUGCACAUCUUUUCUAUCUCCCUGUCAUGGUUACGUAUGCAGGCAUCUAGUUUUUCCAUAAAUCUCUGAUGUGCAUUUGGUUGGUCAUCAUAUACAGACCUCAGGGUGGGCCCGACGCAGGCCGUGUCCGUGCUCUCGAUCUCCUGCAGGAUCCGAUCAUGCUCCGGGAGGCUCUCCGCCAUCUUGGAUGGGAGGGACCCGGCAGCCGCGCCGCUGCGGGAGGCGCCGGGGAGGGACCGAGGGCGGGGGCGGCCGCGGAGCCGGGCGGGGGGUACCGGCAGCAGCGCCGUGCCGCCCGCGCCAGGGCGAGGUCCCGCUGCCUGAGCCCCGAGCUGCUCCGGCGGCGCCGACCUCCGCCCCCGCAGCCCCUCACGGCGGACGCGCAGCGCGCGGCUCGUCCCGGAGAGGGGUGACGGGCUCAGGAGCGGCCUUUCUGCAGCGGGGAGCUCUGCUCUGCUUGUUGGGCCUCGGUUUGUUUGUUUACUCACCGCGUUGGCUCUUUGUUUAUUUGUUUGUUUGAGCUCCCGAACGCUGAAAACACUGCCUUUCAGUGUUCCUUUCAGGAAGCUGAUCUGGUGCACUGCAAACGGGCGUCAUGGUUCUGCAUUGCUGCGGCUUGUGUGCUAGUGUCCUUGGGCACCAGUGCCACAAAACCUCCUUUUUCAGUCAAGUAGGAAUAGCUCAUCUUCUAUUUAAAUCGCACGUACUGCGGUCUGUGGCCAAAGAUGAGCGAGCCCUUGUGUCUGCAUGCUCAAGAGACAGGAUACACCUGUGCUCUUGUCUGUGCAUGGCUAGGAAGCCAGCUUAAAGCAAUGGGCCUUACAUGUAAAGCUCCAGCGUGACGCACAGCCGCUUUUCAGUGAGAAGCAGACAGCCGUGUGCAAGCUGAGAACAGCUAAGCCCAGGCACCAGCCAGCUACAACAGCAUUAGCUAUGCUUUCAAGCACUGUAGUCAAACUCAUCACUCUCCUGCACCACUGUGACUACACCCGGACGCUAGCUAAUAAAUGGCACUGUACUGCUUGUCCGUGCUUGUGGUUUUAUCAUACACAGAUCUGACUCAACUGAAUGUGUUGAUGACACCUACUGAAACAGCAAGCAGUAUUUUAUAUGUAGACAACACAAAGUGUGUUCUGCAGAAAGAAAAUUGGGGAAAGUCCUACAGGGUAUCACUGCAGUAGUAUUUCCUUUAAGAAAUGCAGUAACGAUCUUCCCACAUUCCUUCUUUUCUCCCUCAGCCCCACACUCCCCCAACAACAAACUACUCAAGAAAUAGAUUGACAUAUACAUUUUUCAGGGUAAAUGACAUUCUCUUUCUUUAGCCUGGUAGUCACCGCAACCUGAUGCCCACAGCCCCAGGCGGGCUAUUUUUAAAGCUCUUCUCCAGCUACUGACAAUAUACUUAGGC